rnacentral:rRNA from 1 species
GAUGAACGCUGGCGGCGUGCCUAAUACAUGCAAGUCGAGCGAACGGACGAGAAGCUUGCUUCUCUGAUGUUAGCGGCGGACGGGUGGGUAACACGUGGAUAACCUACCUAUAAGACUGGGAUAACUUCGGGAAACCGGAGCUAAUACCGGAUAAUAUUUUGAACCGCAUGGUUCAAAAGUGAAAGACGGUCUUGCUGUCACUUAUAGAUGGAUUCGCGCUGCAUUAGCUAGUUGGUAAGGUAACGGCUUACCAAGGCGACGAUGCAUAGCCGACCUGAGAGGAUGAUCAGCCACACUGGAACUGAGACACGGUCCAGACUCCUACGGGAGGCAGCAGUAGGGAAUCUUCCACAAUGGGCGAAAGCCUGAUGGAGCAACGCCGCGUGAGUGAUGAAGGUCUUCGGAUCGUAAAGCACUGUUAUUAGGGAAGAACAUAUGUGUAAGUAUCUGUGCACAUCUUGACGGUACCUAAUCAGAAAGCCACGGCUAACUACGUG